rnacentral:lncRNA from 1 species
AUGCACCCGAUACCACGCUUACAGAGCUGUUUGUUACCAGAAGAUACGGAUGAAAAUGCUGAAGUUAGAACACCCAGCUAUGAAAAAACACUCAAAAAACAGGAACACGCCUCGAUCAAGAGAAGAGGAAGAUCUCUGGAGAUGAGUAAAAGCCCAGUGCGUCCUCUCUGUCGAGGACUAUCUGAACCUGCAUCAGAGAGCAAACAGGAUGAGGUCACCGUUAUCAUGACGACAGAUACACAGGAUGCAGGUGAGGAUGGAGUCAGAGUUGCCGACACAGAAGAGGAGUCAUCACCCUCCCCAAGGUCUGAAAGAGACACUACUCAACAUUUACACGCAUUAAAGAAUCACUUUUGAUCAUCUUUGCUUGAUGCAUUGCAUUGAACAUGUUUAACAAACCUUGUUGUGUUCUGUGACAAACUACAGUAUUUAAGUGGGUGAUAGAGAGACCUUCAAGUGUGACUUCAAACUAGAUGCAUUAUUAAUUAGGAUGCUUUUAAUAUGUUAAAAGUUUAACUUAGGGGUCAAGGUUAAGGGGUUAAAUUAUUGAAUUCACUUGUUAAAUGAAUAACUUAUUAAAAGUAAAUAAUUGGCAGAUAAUAUUUUACACAAAUUUCGAAGAUUUUUUUUUUUACAAUAUAACUGGGUCUUAUUACAUGAAAAUCUAAAACUGUCUUUAUACUAUUAGAUUUUAUAUUUAUUAGAUUAUAAAUCAUCAAGUUUAAAAACCCCAGGUUUAACUAAAUUUUAACUAACUUUGCUCACUUGUUUUUUUAGAAAAGAAGGAAAGAAACAUGCUCAGACAUUGAAAAGGGCAAUAAGUCCCCAAACCAUGCUGAAGCUCCAGACGUCCCAU